rnacentral:lncRNA from 1 species
AUGUUAAUUUCGAUCAUAUAUAUUACUUUUUUUUUUAUACUCCAAUUUUUAUUUAAAAAUCUGAUGCGCCAACUUAGCGUUUUCCACCAACUCGGGGAGCAGAAACCUUCACAGGUUUUACAAUCUUUUGCUUAUAUCAGCAAGAGAUGCACCAGUGAUGGCUCUCUGGAAUUUGACUGCACGACGAGUUCUUUUCUUUUGAAUUUCUUCCGACUGCCCCUUUUUAUGUUUUCUUCUGUAGAGGACAGUCCAGUUUAUCUGCCGAGGAUUUCUCUUGGAAAGAAACGCAGACUCGCAUUUUGCGUUAAGAAAUUGGAAAACCUUCCCGUCGGUCCUGGCAUAGCGCCUCCCGUGUCCGGGAUAGAUCUUAUACCCGCUGAAACUGCACAGUUCGACCUUCAUGGCAGCUUGGAAAGAAACACAUAUGCAUGUACACUCACACAGACCACCCACAUGCUUCAGGGUAUUACGGCUGGCUGAUUAGAAGCUAGCUCUCCUAGAAUAAAUAUCUUGCCCCUCUCUCA